rnacentral:rRNA from 1 species
AUCCUGGCUUAGGAUGAACGCUAGCGGCAGGCUUAACACAUGCAAGUCGAGGGGCAUCGGGAGUAGCAAUACUGCCGGCGACUGGCGCAAGGGUGCGUAACGCGUGAGCAACAUGCCCGUAUCAGGGGGGAUAAUCCAUGGAAACGUGGUCUAAUACCCCAUAGUAAUUAUGUAAGGCAUCUUAUAUAAUUUAAAGCUUUGGUGGAUACGGAUUGGCUCGCGUGACAUUAGCUGGAUGGUAAGGUAACGGCUUACCAUGGCUACGAUGUCUAGGGGUUCUGAGAGGAAGGUCCCCCACACUGGAACUGAGACACGGUCCAGACUCCUACGGGAGGCAGCAGUGAGGAAUAUUGGACAAUGGAUGGAAAUCUGAUCCAGCCAUGCCGCGUGCAAGGAAGGCGGCCCUAUGGGUUGUAAACUGCUUUUGUAUGGGAGCAAUAAGGGCUACGUGUAGUCCGAUGAGAGUACCAUACGAAUAAGCACCGGCUAACUCCGUGCCAGCCGCCGC